rnacentral:rRNA from 1 species
UUACUCGAAUUCUAAACAAGGAACUCCUCUUCGGAGAGAAAACAGAUCUAGCAGCAACAAAAACCCAGACUUUCAAGGGGAGAGUAUACGUUCGUGGGGCGAAGCGGGGAUACUGGCUUUGCUCUUUGGGCCCAAAACCCUGAGGCCGAAAAACCGACCUUUCGAGAGCUAAUUCCCGUGGGAAGGGGCCUAAAGCGUGGGAAACCCAACCAGGUUUGAACUCCCCUGGGUAGUCCAUGCCGUAAACGAUGAUCGAUUUGGAAGAUUUUUUUUCUUGGAGAAGUGCAUUUCGGAAGCUAAACCUAUUAAUGUCGACCCCCCUGGGGAAGUACGGCCCGCAAAGGCUAAAAACUCAAAUGAUAUUGACGGGGGGCCCGCCCAAAGCGGGUGGGCGUUUCUGGUUUAUUUUCGACGCAACGCGAAGACCCUUUCCCUGGUCUUGACAUCCAUAAAAUUUUUUAGAGAUAAAAAAGUGCCUUUACCGGAAUUAUGAGACAGGUGCUGCAUGGCUGUCGUCAGCUCGUGUUGUGAAAUGUUGGGUUAAGUCCCGCAACGAGCGCAACCCUUGUUCUCUGUUGCCAUCAGGUUAUGCUGGGAACUCAGAGGAGACUGCCGGUUAUAAGCUGGAGGAAGGUGGGGACGACGUCAAGUCAUCAUGGCCCUUACGACCAGGGCUACACACGUGCUACAAUGGCAUAUACAAAGAGAAGCAAAUCUGCGAAGACAAGCAAAACUCAUAAAGUAUGUCUUAGUUCGGACUGGAGUCUGCAACUCGACUCCACGAAGUCGGAAUCGCUAGUAAUCGUGGGUCAGAAUGCCACGGUGAAUACGUUCCCGGGCCUUGCCCUCGCCGCCCGUC